GGGAGGGGAUGGGGGCAGAGGCCUGGUCUCAGCCGGCGUGGCUGCGUCCCUCUUCCCGUGGAAGACGGUGGCUCUGGAGAACCAUUACUGGCCCAUCAGGGGACGGGACGGGGCGGCGCGGGAGGGGGCCAUCCUGGGCCGUCUAGGGCCCUCGGGGCAAGGCGUACCGGCGCCCGCUCAGCCUUGGCUCUGGCAUCGUCGCCGCGCCCGGGAGGUUUCCGGUCACAGCACGUUUCUGGGCUUUUCUCUGCUUCCCAGGCCGUUCUCCAGCCGCCGCCCUUCCCUCCCUUAGCUGCUGGAACCCGCGCCCGAGGGGAGGAACGUCGGGGUCGUGUCCCUGGUGCUUGCUGGAGGGGUGGGGGGCACCCAGCGACCCACACGCCUACUGUGCGCUCUGUGCGGUGCGGGUGAGUGGGAUGGAGAGUGGAACACAGGCAACCGGGAGGACCCGGAGAGAGGGGCGGCUAUGGGGAGUCGUUGAGGGGGCCUGAGCAUGGAGGUGUGAGCUCCAGGGCGGAGGAGGCGUGGGCCCUGGGGGCGAUCUAGCCUCUGGCGGUGGAGACGUGGGCGCCCCAGGCAGAGGGAGUGAUGAGAUGGCGGCAGGGACACGGGCUUGCUGGGGUCAAGGACUGGAGGAGUGGGAGGGCGCCCGGAGGUUCCAGGCUAGUCCACCCUGCGGAGUCCGCCCGGUGCAAGGCGACGCUCCCAUGCCGGGCAACGUCACCUGGCCAAGGUGGCCUUUCUGAGCCGUGGGGGUCUUCGUGAGUAGGCGGGACAAUAGCUCACUGUUGUAAGGGUUUGUGAUCUGUGUGAAUGGCACUGUUGUGGUUUUCCCAGCAUCCCACUGCUUAACACACUUAGUCUUUUUCCCUUAUGGAAGGAGAUGGAAGUUGAUUUGUGGGGCUUCUCUGGAUACUGGGAACACAGAUAAGAGCCAAAUAGAGUCCGACAGAAUGGCUAAGCGGCCUCGGAAUAGGUGCCUGACCCAGGUGGCCAUCUGCUUCUGGGAUGCACAGCCCCCUGCAGCCUCCCUCUACGUUAAGGCCAGGGUCUCAACUUGUUUAUUCUUUUUAGAAGAUUCUGAAACAUCACAACAGUGGGAACUUACUGAUACCGACUGCAUCAGCACGGACACACGCACAAAGACAGGCAUUGGAGGGCAUUCUCUCUCUCAUAGAUGCCACCAGAUAUGUCUUUGCCGUCCUACGGCACCCGGAGCGAGCCGGACGUGUCUUGGGCUCUCACUAGUCACUUGCGGCUGCCACCAGUAGAUUGCACAUCUGUCCUCCCCUUCUGCGUCUUUCCAGGGUGACAACUUCCUACCCCCCAAAACCUAGUGACUUCAAGCCGGCCGUUUGUGCGUGAAAGGGCCAUCUGCGUGGGGCUCAGAGGGGGGCAGUUUUGCCGCCUGGGGUCACUUGUGAGGUGGCGGUCAGAUGGGAGCCUAUCGGGGAGGGUCCGUGGUGGCCUCACUCGCGUGGCUCGGUGGGUGCCGGCUCUCAGCUGGAGCCCCUCGGUUCUCCACGGAGCCCUCCACGUUCCCGUGGGCCAGGCCGGCUCUUAGCCGCACGGCUCCUUGGUUCUGAGUGGCCUUUCUUGCCAAGGCCCAGGAGGCACUUCUGCAUUCUGCGGACUAAAAACGUCACGGGGCCUCUGGAGGGUCAUGGGCACCAUCUUUUGAUAAGAGUGGCAAAAGUCACACCGCAAAAAAGGCACGCGGGAUGGGAGGGAUUGUUGUGGCUGUUUCACUAGCCCAUCCAGAGAGGCCUGUCGGGCUGUUCCCCGAUUUCACUUGGAACCGUCACUGGGAUGAUUGCUCUUGCCAUUUGAUGAAGCCCAUGUCUGCCAAGCUCUCUCCACUGUAAAGUCACUUUUUUCCAUUGCAAUUAUUGCACGUUUUGUGGGGAGGUCCUUUGAAACCUGUUCUUCAUGCACCUUCAGUUCACUUGUCUAUUUAUUUACAGGGGUGCGGCAUCACGGAUCUCUGUGCUGUUCUGUGGGUUGUCAUCCAUGUUUGUCGUGUUUUCUUUUGACACUCACAUUGUCCUCCGUCAGGCCUCUUGGAGCUGGCUGCUGCGUCCUUUUGGAACGUCCCCAUCAAUCUUUGAGCGCUUUCCUGCAUGAAGAGUAUGCGAAUAUUCUAGGUGGUUCUAGAGAUUCAGAUCCUGGUGUGCUUCCAUUUCCCAGCUAGAUGACCAUGGCAGGCUUCACACCCAGCACUGAGCCCAAGAUGAGGCUUGAAUUCACAACCCUGAGAUCAAGACCAGAGCUGAGACCCAAGAGUCAGAUGCUUAACCAACGGAACCACCCAGGUGCCCCAUCACAUAUGUUAAUUAAAUGCUUGCUAUGUGUCAGGCUCUGUUGUAGGCAAUGGGAUACAGCCAUUAAAACGCAGCUGCUUAAAAAAAAUUAUUGCAAAAUUAAAAAUGCAAUUAAUAAGGGA